rnacentral:rRNA from 1 species
CCUGGGGAGUACGCUCGCAAGGCUAAAACUCAAAGGAAUUGACGGGGGCUCACACAAGCGGUGGAGCAUGUGGCUUAAUUCGAAGCAACGCGAAGAACCUUAUCCAGGGCUUGACAUGCACGGAUUAGCUUCCCGAAAGGGAAGUGACGCGUUUACGUGGAACGUGCACAGGUGCUGCAUGGCUGUCGUCAGCUCGUGCUGUGAAGUGUCGGGUUAAGUCCCUUAACGAGCGAAACCCCUGUCGUUAGUUGCCAGCGAGUCAUGUCGGGGACUCUAACGAGACUGCCGGUGUCAAACCGGAGGAAGCUGGGGAUGACGUCAAGUCCUCAUGGCCUUUAUGCCCUGGGCUGCACACGUGCUACAAUGCGGCGUACAGUGCGAAGCGAUACCGUAAGGUGGAGCAAAUCGCAGAAAGCGCCGCUCAGUUCGGAUUGUGGUCUGCAACUCGACCACAUGAAGUUGGAAUCGCUAGUAAUCGCGUAUCAGCAUUGACGCGGUGAAUAAGUUCCUGAGCCUUGACACACCGCCCGUCACGUCAUGGGAGCUGGUAGCACCCGAAGUCGCACGAAUUCACGUGUGCCUACGGUGAGAUCGGUGACUGGGACGAAGUCGUAACAAGGUAGCCAUC